GAUGAACGCUGGCGGCGUGCCUAAUACAUGCAAGUCGAGCGAACGGACGAGAAGCUUGCUUUUCUGAUGUUAGCGGCGGACGGGUGAGUAACACGUGGAUAACCUACCUAUAAGACUGGGAUAACUUCGGGAAACCGGAGCUAAUACCGGAUAAUAUUUUGAACCGCAUGGUUCAAAAGUGAAAGACGGUCUUGCUGUCACUUAUAGAUGGAUCCGCGCUGCAUUAGCUAGUUGGUAAGGUAACGGCUUACCAAGGCAACGAUGCAUAGCCGACCUGAGAGGGUGAUCGGCCACACUGGAACUGAGACACGGUCCAGACUCCUACGGGAGGCAGCAGUAGGGAAUCUUCCGCAAUGGGCGAAAGCCUGACGGAGCAACGCCGCGUGAGUGAUGAAGGUCUUCGGAUCGUAAAACUCUGUUAUUAGGGAAGAACAUAUGUGUAAGUAACUGUGCACAUCUUGACGGUACCUAAUCAGAAAGCCACGGCUAACUACGUGCCAGCAGCCGCGGUAAUACGUAGGUGGCAAGCGUUAUCCGGAAUUAUUGGGCGUAAAGCGCGCGUAGGCGGUUUUUUAAGUCUGAUGUGAAAGCCCACGGCUCAACCGUGGAGGGUCAUUGGAAACUGGAAAACUUGAGUGCAGAAGAGGAAAGUGGAAUUCCAUGUGCAGCGGUGAAAUGCGCAGAGAUGUGGAGGAACACCAGUGGCGAAGGCGACUUUCUGGUCUGUAACUGACGCUGAUGUGCGAAAGCGUGGGGAUCAAACAGGAUUAGAUACCCUGGUAGUCCACGCCGUAAACGAUGAGUGCUAAGUGUUAGGGGGUUUCCGCCCCUUAGUGCUGCAGCUAACGCAUUAAGCACUCCGCCUGGGGAGUACGACCGCAAGGUUGAAACUCAAAGGAAUUGACGGGGGCCCGCACAAGCGGUGGAGCAUGUGGUUUAAUUCGAAGCAACGCGAAGAACCUUACCAAAUCUUGACAUCCUUUGACAACUCUAGAGAUAGAGCCUUCCCCUUCGGGGGACAAAGUGACAGGUGGUGCAUGGUUGUCGUCAGCUCGUGUCGUGAGAUGUUGGGUUAAGUCCCGCAACGAGCGCAACCCUUAAGCUUAGUUGCCAUCAUUAAGUUGGGCACUCUAAGUUGACUGCCGGUGACAAACCGGAGGAAGGUGGGGAUGACGUCAAAUCAUCAUGCCCCUUAUGAUUUGGGCUACACACGUGCUACAAUGGACAAUACAAAGGGCAGCGAAACCGCGAGGUCAAGCAAAUCCCAUAAAGUUGUUCUCAGUUCGGAUUGUAGUCUGCAACUCGACUACAUGAAGCUGGAAUCGCUAGUAAUCGUAGAUCAGCAUGCUACGGUGAAUACGUUCCCGGGUCU
rnacentral:rRNA from 1 species